AAUUGCAUUUAGGUGGGGAAAGGUGGCAAUGUUUUUUCAUUAGAUAUACAAUUAAUAUUGCACUUGUCCCGGCCUAUAUGCGGUUU
rnacentral:pre_miRNA from 2 species